AUCUCUCUCGUUCUAUUCUAUUCUACGUAGGUAUAGAUCGGCUUAAGGUGCGUUUCUGCGCUGCAAAAAUCGUUGGCAUAAUCGAGCUAGGCGUUGAAAUAAUCGUCGGCCGUAGUGACUGAGGAGUCAAUUCGGCCGAUUAUCAGACGCGAUCGAAAACGACAAUACUUUGAACCGUUGCGCGUGUGCAGCGUUUAUAAUCGUCUCUUAUGGACGUAGAAAAAGUCCUCCGUAUGCAGCAUCAUCCGCUUUUUAAUCGUCGUUGAGUUCUCGUAAACUCUUGCGUUUAUCCGUCGAUGCUAUCGUUUCGGCGAUUUACUUUCCAUACGUCCAUAAUCUUUCUCGCAAAAAUCCUUUCGAGUAUGGUACGAGCUAUCGAGGCCACGAGGAACGAGUUGUACCUCUCGAAAAUAAUAACCGAGCUAUAGACGAAUGUCUACGUUGGAAUAAUUUAUCGAACGUGGGGACAGAUCGUGCGUUUUAAUUACGCUGACACAAAACGUAUCCGUUCGCGAUCGACGGCGAAUUUUCCGCGAUCGAUCGGAAUUCGCACCUAUUUAUGUUCCUCUAAUUCCUCGGCGCGGCCUCGAGCGUGCACAUACCGGCCCGAGAAACAUUCCUCCGUAACUGAAUCUUAGGUGAUUACGAUCGUUACACCGCAUUCCAGGCACCAAAGUGGCAUUCCAUCGCGGCGUCGGCCACAUUGCGCGAACAUCGGCGAAACGUGGAUUAAGCGAUCUACGACCGAGUAUUCGAGAUUAACUGCUUUUGUUUUUGGAACACGGAAAUACUAUCGCCGUUCUCCGUUCCGUUUGCUCAUUUUCGGCCGGUAAAUGCCUCUCUGUAAUUCCGCCUGGCGAAUGCUUUGCCGCUCGGCAGAUUUAUCUGUACAAUGUUCGCGACUCUGGCGUGUGUCGAUUGCCAGCCUGAUUCCGAUGUUUCCCGAUGCACGAGCUAGCCUCGUUAACAUUCAACGGGCUGCCUUCAGCAAGAAACCGUGUAAUUUAAUUGUCGCGAGAGUUUCGCUAAUUUUAAACUAUCGAUCUUUUCUUCGUGUCUUCCUUCUCCCCCCUUUUUCCUCUACUUGGUUAAAACGAUUUACUGGUUUCUCCUAUUCGCGUCGUCUUUUCAUCUCGUUUCCGCUUUUUGAAAACGAAAUUCCCCUUCGUCGUUUUCAUUUUUUGAAACAUUUCUCUUCCACACUUUUCCCUUAAUUUUCUCAUAUUUCACGUAUCCGUCAACGCGUCCGAUAAAAAGCGUAAAAUAUACAUCAUAUACUACAAAAUAUAUCGUAUUUUACAAAACGUAAAACGUUUACAUUAUUUCUCUACGUUUUAACGAAACAUUAAUCGGUAUAAAAUAUAGUUACUACUUUCUGAUGUUUGGAAAAAAUGUUUUACAUAAACGAAAAAAAGAAUAUUCUGUUCGCCGAUGUUCGUCGCAUAUAGCGAUAUAGCGUACAUCAUAAAUGUAGCAAUACGCGUAAACCGAUUACAAAUGGACAGGUUACAUUUUUUCUCUUUUUCUUCUCUAAAAAAAAAAAAAAAAAUUUUCCUGGAUUGGGGCAACGUUAAGCAUUACUUGUUUGAGGGGGUGCGGAGGGGAAGAAGGAGAGGUCAGAGUGACUGGCGAAAUACCGUAAGAAAAGGAGGGUUGCGGCAACAUUAGCAAAGAGAACCGUAUAGGAUCGUAGUGGUGGUACCAAGUUUAGGUUAUAUAAGACGAUAAGUGGAAAGUGUAUAAAGUAGAUAUGGAGAAGCGAAGAAAAAAAGUUUCGUGCCUCGGCAUGCGGUGGUUGUGCGGGAUUUGGAAAAUACGUGGGUGGACUUGGCGGAUAGGCGCGCGCGCGCGCUCCCUUCGCACAUAUACGCACACAAAAUACACAAACACACACACACGUUUACAUGCAUCAGCAUAUACAAUCGCAUGCUUCGUGCCACGUAAUUUUGUACGUCAUGCCCGAUGCCGCAUGCUUUGUGCUUUACCAGUGACACGAAUUCUGAACACGGAAUUUAACUUCUUUUUACUCCCGUUGGAAUGGUCGUUUGCAAUAUUCGCGUUCGCAAAGUAUGCUAUUAUCGGAUCCCAUUUAGCCUGGAUCGAAUUCAGUCGAUCAAUUUUUUUACUUUAACGAUCGCCCGUACCCGCCGCGGCAACUAUUUCUUUUGAAACGAGACGAGCGAAUUAUUCAAAUCGCGAUAGCAUACUCGCGAAAUGUAUCGUUCAAAGUAAAAGAUUGAAAUCGAAUUUUUAUCUGUCUGAACUUUUUCAGCAACUUUGCCCAAGUUUUAUAUUUCAUAACGGAUAAUUCGUAGAAUUAAAAAGAGAUAGAUCAAGGUCCGUUAUAACGAUAUUGAAUUCAAUUUCAGGGAGAUAGUCGUUUUACUACGAUCUCGUGGAAAAAAAUAUUUAAAUUCUAAAUGCUUCGCUUAAGCAACGAGAACCGGUGGUUCUCUGGUGAAUACACGGUAGAUUACCGACGAUACCCAAAGCGGUACAUUCAACGGAUCGUUAAAGGCACGCACAAGUAUAAAUAACAGGAAGCAAAAACUCGAUGCCGACUAAAGUUGCGCAGUCGAAAAUUCGGUCCUGGGUUAAGAGAGCGGAACAAAAUAUUUUCGUGCCAAAGGCAUGCCGACUUUCAUCUAGGACGGAGUAUCAUCAAACUACGGUUACUAUAAGUAUGAUUAAUAGCAUACGCAAAAGUGGCCGGGGGAAUUGGGUACCAGUUUUUGGAAUAUUAACAAAAUAAGAGAAAAUUGGUUUUCCAAGGUCGAUAUAUCAUAACUAGAUAUUCGAAAAAAUGAAUAUGUAGGCAUACCGAGAACGGGGCCACGGCACGUCACGUCGUGGCUAAAAUGCUGCAGUCGUUUCGUUCUUACAUGCGCUGGGCUAGAUGCACAAUGCGUUUUAAUUCGGUCGCAUCGUAGUCGACACGUCGUUUUCUGUGUUUAGCCUCCUUCGGGGCUGGCCGUCGUCGGCCCUUUACUACGUCCCCGGACACGAGGCUCAGUGCUAUAUGUCGGAGGCUUUUUAGAGGGGGCCGGGGGCUUGGUUUUGUGAUAGUGAUGGUCAAGUGGUGGUGGUGGUUUUGUGACAGUGGCAAAGUGGUGACUUUUAGUGUAUUCAUGUAGCACACGUUCGUAAAGACAUUUCGUCGUCGGAGCCAAAGUUAUAAUAUGUUUUGAUCAUCGUUUUGUUCGAAAAAUUGUCUGAUAUAUACAACUGUGCGUGUGCUCUAUGGUUUUCUCAAUUUUUGUGCGAUUUCUCCGUCGUUUGAUAUCGUGUCGUAAAUUUUUCCUCGUUUUUUUCUGUUUUUUUUGUUUUCGAUUCUUUACAUCGAUAUCUUUGAAUACCUUCGUUCUGAGUCGAUAUUCUCUGCGCGUAUUCCCGAUCGAGCAGAAACUCGACACGGUAGCGAGACAUUCGCUGUAUGCGGUUGCGGAGAAAUUACACUAAAGUUUGCUAAGACCGACGUGAUAGUUCACAAUUGUGGUAAAUUGGUACAGUGGAGACCCUUCGGAGGAUGCUCGUAAAUACGUUUUACGGUUAUGUACGGUUAUGUCACGCAGAUUGCGAUCGAGGAUACGGAAACUCGUACUCGUCCUCGAAUUAUUUUCGACGAGGAUAAUCUCUUUACAUUUUCAACUUUUUCUUUUUUCUUUUCGAUAUGUACUUUUUACUCUUUAAAUGUUUACCCUUUUUUUUUUUCUUUUUACGUCUACAAACCACCACGAAAUGCGUCUGCCCUUGCUGCGUAAACGUCGGUCAGCUCGAUAUCCACCAACGGUGGAUCAACGGUUGACCGUACUUCUGCGUGAUCGAGCUCACUACCUGUCGUUUGGAGUUACUGCAAAUUGCACGUCCGCUUUCGUCGACGAUGGCAACAUCGUGUAACGCCGAAACGCGAUUAUAUUGGAAAACGCGGUAGUACAAUAACGUUAAUGCGCCACGUAGCAGGCCAAACAUCGCAAACUGGUUCGAUAACAAAGGCCGUCGUUUAUUUUUUCACUCGGGCUCGCAAAUGAAUUCUCGGGCUUGACCAAGUUUGUCGUUGAUGACCUAUGCCGGCUCGAUAAAUCGCGACAAUAACGAGUGGGCGUGUUACAUCGACCGAUAACGGGAUUAAAAAUAACGAUGCCAAUGAAUCGCGUUUGAAAAAAUUUAAUUAAUAUCCUUCCUCCGUGUCCAUUCAGCGUAGGGCUACAAUGGAUUCAUUAUUUUCCACGAAUCAAAAUAGUUACGGUGAAAAUAUUAUGUAACUCGUUAAAUACGAGUAACGACGAUCCUGAAUUUUCGGGGUAACGGAGAGUACAUUUCGAUCGAUAAUUAAGCGAGCAUUGUUUUAAUUAGACCGAAUUAAAACGUGGAUUUGGUCGGACGAAUAAAGUUGUAUUAAUUAAAAUAAAUUACGCGAGAACAUUAGCGACCGAUGGAAAUAUUCUGGAAACGAGUAGCGUUGAAAGUCAUCGAACAAUUUUCUGUAAUUACUCGUCGUUUAUAGUUAGAUUGGAAUCUAUUCGCGUUGCGUUUGCACGCAUUUCCUCCAUUACGGUAUUGCUAAGAGCGUGCUUUUAUAUCGUUUUCCACGAAGUGAAAUGUUUGCCGAAUGUUUCGAGCUGGCUGGCAUCGACGAUUGAUGCUUCGUCCAUUUACGGCGGCUUAAGGAGAGGACCAUCGCAGUGUGAGAGCGUCGUCGCUUUCGAGGCAACCACGUCCGGUAUUUAGCCCAUGUUCCCAAUGGAUUUCAUAAAACGUAAAAAUUCUUCGACUACAAAGAGAAAGCGACAAACGACCGGUAAAGCUUCAUCGGCGAAUAAACGGAAACGGAAAUGGACGUGGUUACAGCGAGUAGGUGGAUAUCACGAGCGUUCGUUACAUCGUCAGGCGGCUCGUGACGACUUUUCCGUCGAGGCGUUAACGCACAGCGAACGUGUUACCUUCUCAGAAUUGUUUGUCACGGAAUGGUCGAAAUUGUUGAUUAGUCGAUUCAAGUCUGUUCCUCCUGUGGACAAGUGGUUGCUAUUAUCAGGAUUGCAACCGUUGCAUUAGGUAAGAGAUCCAACCUGUACACAUUCUCAUCGGGAUAAUGCACUGCUAAGUGGAUGCUCCGUACGUGUUGCGAUUUGUACCCUAUCAAUCUUGAUCCCGUGAGCUCGCGCGCACCUACGUCAACCGACACACGUAUUCGAAACACGUGUGAGGUCGAUUCACGAGCACAGAAACGCAUUAGCACUUGCAUACGUAACACAUGCCACGACAAACGCAUAACGGCUAUAUAGGUACAUAUAAGUGUUCAGGAAUACGUAAGACGUACACGCACGAUAUGUACGUAUACAUAUCUGUGCACAUAUGAACACAGAAGGAUGAGUUUCAUAUACAGCUCGGUGUAGAGUAACGCUUUGACAACGUGUACAUGGUAAAUCGCACAGAGUGAACCAGCAUUGCUAGUCUAACACCAUAAGUGCUUGUGUUUCUCUGUUUGGAAUGAUUUCGUACUCUGUUGCACUGACCUCUGUAUAAGUGGGCUUGCCAGAAAUUGACAGUUUCAGAAAAAAGUCAACCAUAUGUUUAUCGAAUGUUAUGUUGUAAAAUUCGUUGUUACGAUUGUGAUUAUCCGGAAGAAACACACGUAUUA